GAUGAACGCUGGCGGUAUGCCUAACACAUGCAAGUCGUACGAGAGUUUUUAACUCUAGUGGCGGACGGGUGAGUAACACGUGAGAAUUUGCCUUUAGGAGGGGGAUAACAAUUGGAAACGAAUGCUAAUACCCCAUAUGCUUUUGAGUGAAACGGAUUUAUCCGCCUAGAGAGAAGCUCGCGGCUGAUUAGCUUGUUGGUAAGGUAAGAGCUUACCAAGGCGACGAUGGAUAGCCGGCCUGAGAGGACGAUCAGCCACACUGGGACUGAGACACGGCCCAGACUCCUACGGGAGGCAGCAGUGGGGAAUUUUGGACAAUGGGGGCAACCCUGAUCCAGCAAUGCCGCGUGAGUGAAGAAGGCCUCGGUUGUAAGCUCUUUGUCAGGAAGAACAGCAGCUCUAACACAGACUGCGAAU
rnacentral:rRNA from 1 species